UACGUAGGGUGCAAGCGUUGUCCGGAAUUAUUGGGCGUAAAGAGCUCGUAGGCGGUUUGUUGCGUCGGCUGUGAAAUCCCGAGGCUCAACCUCGGGUCUGCAGUCGAUACGAGCAAACUAGAGUGUUGCAGGGGAGACUGGAAUUCCUGGUGUAGCGGUGAAAUGCGCAGAUAUCAGGAGGAACACCGGUGGCGAAGGCGGGUCUCUGGGCAACAACUGACGCUGAGGAGCGAAAGCGUGAGGAGCGAACAGG
rnacentral:rRNA from 1 species